AGUAUGUAUGCCAACAGAAGGAACCACUGACCUUCGAUUCCCAGAGCAAUUGCAAUUCCAUCCUUCUUUCUUCACAGUCAACCUCUGAAUUUCACACAUAGCAACAGUACUAUAAAAUCUUCAUUCUGCGCUCCAAUAAUUGUAGAAUAUCUUCAAUUCAUUUAUUCUUUUCAGUUUUUUUCAUUUACAAUUUUUUCAAUCGUAUGAGAACUGCCCUUCGCCGGUGGUACAAAUUGCCGCGAGAUUUAGCUACUCAAAUGGCCGACGAAAUCAACUCAUCCGCCGCCGUCACCGCCACCGCCAAGAGCCGCUCGCUCUGGCCCUCCGUUCUGCGCUGGAUACCGACCUCCACCGACCACAUCAUCGCCGCCGAGAAACGCCUUCUUUCUCUCCUCAAAACGCCUUAUGUUCAAGAGCAGGUCAAUAUUGGCUCCGGUCCGCCCGGUUCUAGAAUCCGCUGGUUCCGCUCGGCUAGCGACGAGCCUAGGUUUAUCAAUACGGUGACGUUUGAUGCCAAAGAGGGGGCGCCGACUCUAGUCAUGGUUCAUGGAUAUGGAGCUUCUCAAGGCUUCUUUUUCCGUAAUUUUGAUGCGCUUGCAGCGCGUUUCAGAGUAGUUGCAAUCGAUCAGCUUGGUUGGGGAGGAUCCAGUCGGCCUGAUUUCACAUGUAAAAGCACUGAAGAAACUGAGGCAUGGUUCAUUGACUCGUUUGAGGAAUGGCGUAAAUCAAAAAAUCUUAGCAACUUUGUUUUGCUUGGGCAUUCCUUUGGAGGGUAUGUUGCUGCUAAAUAUGCGCUUAAGCAUCCUGAGCACGUUCAGCAUUUAAUUUUAGUAGGGCCUGCUGGCUUCUCAUCUGAAACAGAACAUAGGUCUGAGUGGCUUACUCGAUUUAGAGCAACAUGGAAAGGUGCCAUUUUAAAUCAUCUCUGGGAGUCUAAUUUUACACCUCAGAAGAUUGUAAGAGGUUUAGGUCCUUGGGGUCCGGACCUGGUUCGCAAGUAUACCAGUGCUAGAUUUGGGUCAUAUUCAGAUGGAAGUGUAUUGACUGAGGAUGAAUCAAGACUACUUACAGAUUAUAUAUAUCACACGUUGGCAGCUAAAGCUAGUGGAGAGUUGUGCUUAAAGUAUAUAUUCUCCUUUGGAGCCUUUGCCCGAAAACCUCUAUUGCAGUGCACUUGGUAGAAUUCCAACUUAUGGAAAGGGUUCGACAAUGAACACUUAACCACCCCCACCCGGACCCGUCUCGACUCCCAAACCACUCUUAUCCAGAGAGCCACUGGACUGGUAUGGCUUAUGAAGCUGUGGAAUCCCUGCAACAGACCUUACACAUAAUCCAUCUCCGCGACGAUGGUCUCAUCACUCCUGUUAAACAACCAGUUAUAUCCACCCACGACAAAGCUGUUGUCCUGCAGUUCAAUCUCAAACGAUUUCCUCAUAAAGAAACAAUAAGGGAGGUAUCAAAUGCAACUGAAGAGAUUAUUGAGUAUCUCUUCUCUCCACAAAAUAUAUCAGAUCUUGGAUCAGCGGACCAGACUUUCAGAUCAGUUGGGGGAAUUGGCUGAGGACCUUGAUUCAACUGUUGGAAAUGUGGUUGACUACUGCAAGAUCAACGGCGUGAGUGAUUCUCCAGCUGUUAGUCCAUCAUCAAGAUCUGCUCUGAACAAUCAAGUUGAAGAUCUCGCGGUUGCAAUAAAUACAAACAUGUUUAGGAGAUUAGCGGAGAAAAUAAAGUCAAGUGGCAGAGAGAAUUAGCAGAUGAAGAUCCGAGUGAUUCACCAUCACCCAAGAGCAAAGAUGUUGCGGUUGGUUUUGAUGACGGUCUAAGUGAAUCUACUGUUGCUACAUCAUCAUCUAGACCCACAUCUACAAGCAAAUAUUUUGUGGCCGACUUUGCUGAAGAUCCGAGGAAUUCACCAUCAAUAUAUCCACCAACGAGCAGAGAUGAUGUGGUUUGUUUUGAUGAAGAUAUAGUACAGAUGAUGGACCGAAUAACUAACUAUUCAUCUUGCCUACAAAUCCUCCCUAUUGUCGGAAUGGGAGGCAUUGGCAAGUCCACACUUGUUAAAUAACCCCCGUUAUCCGCCAGAGAUUUUCCGUCGGUGAUUCAGAAUGUCGCAACAGCUAUUCAUCCAUAUAGCGACGUCACUGGCGGGGCGGUACAUGUGCUUCACCCUCUGACGUGAUGCCAGCGGCCGGCUCGGAUUGUCGACGUAUCAGAAGUGUACCGCUGCAAUUAGACAUCUUGCUUAUGCCGGGCCCGCUGAUAUGUUCGACGAAUACCUACAGAUGGGUGAAACGACUUCCCUACAGGUGCUGAGGCAGUUUUGUAGGGGCAUUUAGGACAUCUUUGGUUCGGAGUAUCUACGGAAGCCAACUGCCGAUGAAUGCUAGAGAUUGAUAGAUAUGAACGGGAGGGUGCAUAAUUUUCUAGGGAUGUUGGGCAGCAUCGAUUGCAUGCACUGGGAGUGGAGGAACUGCCCGGUGGCUUGGAAGGGACAGUUCACUUCUGGAUUCAAAGGGAAACACCCCUCGAUGAUCCUAGAAGCCGUUGCUGACUACCAGUUGCAAAUCUAGCAUGCGUAUUUUGGUGUCGCAGGGUCGAACAACGACAUCAACGUUAUACAGUCGUCUCAUCUCUUCAAUGACGAGUGUCGGGGUGAGGGUCCGGAGGUCAGAUUCGUGGCCAACGGCACGCAGUACAACAAGGCAUACUCUUUGGCCGAUGAGAUAUACCCUCGUUGGCCCGUGUUUGUCAAGACGAUCCGGCAACCGGUUGGGCCGAGGCAAUCCUAUUUCGCGCGAAAAUAAGAGGGUGCUAGGAAGGAUGUUGAGCAAGCUUUUGGUGUCCUCCAAUCGCUAUGGGCCAUUCUACGGUGCUUGACACAAAUUUGGCACGAAAUUGAUGUCGCCGACAUCAUGUAUGCAUGUAUCAUAUUGCACAAUAUGAUAACAUAUGAUGAAGGAUUUGCUGCAGAGCGCUGAGCACCGGAAGAGGGUGCUAGUACAAGUCAUAGUAUUGUCACCGCCCCCCUGUAGAUGGGUGUACUACGUACUAAUCAAUACUUGAUCCAACGGUUCACCGAUAUGCGAAGGGAAAUAAUAUAUACGACACUGCAUGCUGAUUUGGUUGAAGAGCUCUAGGCACAUAGGGUAGGGGGUACAUCGUGAUAUGCGUUUGCGAUGUGUUUGUGUGUCGAUAAUUUUCGUUGUAUAAUACAACGAAAAUUUAAUAUUUUUUUUAAUUAAAUUAUGCUUUUUUCCUUAA